rnacentral:lncRNA from 1 species
AACAUAUGUAACAUUGGCUUUUCCUGCUGACAACAGUAACAGAGUUUCAGAUCAUGUUUAUAGAAUGGUUAUUUCAUCACCUAACUAAUCUCACCUCUAGUGUAUGGAUUCUGGUAAAGUCAGUCAACAGUCUUCACAGCCUUUUCUAUUUUUACUGACCUUGAUUUAAAAUCUAAUCUUAGACCUUGAGGUAUUGCUUACGAAUAGUGUAAUAAUGAGGUACUACUUAUAACAAAUAAUGGUAACAUACUCUAGUGCGUACUAUAGGCAAAAGCUAAUGGAAACAUAGGUAGAAGAAAUGAAGUAAUAGUUAUUGAAUGCUUUUUGUGUACUGCAGGUGUGGAAACAGGAAGAGAACUAGAACUGGAAGUAAAGCAUUGAAGAUGUGACUGAAUUGCUGCAAUCUCAUGAUCAAAUUUGAAUGGAUGAGGAGUUGCUUUUUAGGGAUGAGCAAAGAAAGUGGUUUCUCGAGAUGGAAUCUACUGGUUGCUCCUUGAGGGCAGGACAGUUCUUAUGGCUUUAUCCGUUGCGUAAGCACAGAGAGGUCUGCGAGGUCAAAACUAUUGUCAUGAUAGCAAGAUGCCUGUCUUUUUCAUUUAUUCUCACGGUGUGCAGAGGCUACAUGAUGUGUGAUGACAUCCUCAUUGAUGUUAAUGAAUGGUGCUAUACUUGAAUUUUCUAAGGUGUCAUUAGAUGAGGUCUUGCUGUGUUGCCCAGGCUAUUCACAGCUGCCAUCAUAGUGAACUACAGCCUGAAACUCCUGGGUUCAAGAGAUCCUUCUGCCUCAGCCUCCUGAGUAGCUGGAACUAUAGGCAUGCGCCACCAAGCCUGGGCUUUUAAAAAAAUUUUAAAAAGAAUUUUGAGACAGGAUCUUGCCAUGUUGCUCAGGCUAGUCUUCAACUCCUAGCCCUGAGUGAUCUUGCUUUGGGCCUCUCAAAAUGUUGAGUUAAUAGGCGUGAGCCACCAUACCCAGCCAAAAAUUUUUUUAGAGAUGGGAAUGGAAUGAUCUUGAAUAGUGUUGGUGCCACCUAUGUUGUGGCAUCAUUUUGAAACCAAUCAUUCAGAGUGCUUUUUUUGGUAAGGCAUUAUUUUUUAAUGCAGGUAUGCCACUACUGGGAAAAAAAAAAAAACAGGUUUUAAAGCUAGAAAUGAAAAGCUACUUAAGUAUCUUAAAGGAUAAGUUACUUUAUUAUACACUAGAAACAUACACAAUAGCUGAAAAACUUAAAAAAUCUCACACUGCUGAAUGUCUCUGCUGGCUGAAGUGUAAGUAAAAGAUCAUAGUAGUGCCGCUGUUGAGUGAUAAAGCAACUUGUCAUUAAAGAUGUGUGUGCAGACAUGGAUUCUGAGUUAAUAUCUCAUCUGUAGAAGUAUAUAUUUGUCCCUUGCUUUGGGAUUGGUUUCUGGACAGCACUCCCCCACCCUUGCUGGCCAUUUGCCAAGGACACCAAAACCCAAGGAUGUUGAAUUCCCUUUUAUAAAAUGGCGCUGUAUCUGCAUACAACUUACACACAUCCUCCCAUAUACUUUAAAUCAUUUCCAGAUUUCUUAUACUUCAUACAAUGUGAAUGCUAUAUAAAUAGUUGUUACAUUGUGUACUUAUAUUUGUACUAUUGUAUUAAAUAUUCUCAAAUAUUUUCAAGCACAUUUGGUUGAAUCUGCAGAUGCAGAACCUGAGGAUAUGGAGGGCUGACUGUGCUAAUACGUUAUCAAUGGAUGCGUGCAUAAACAUGGCUGGACUUGUUACUUGGCUUGUAUUUGCCAGGCAUCAGCACCAACUAGUUAAAGAUACUCUUACGUGAAAGCUUGGCAACAAACACAUGUCCUGAAAUAAUGCAAGUGUAGAAUAACUUUUUAAAAUCUCAUGGUUUAUGCUAAACUAUAUGUUGACAUAAGAGUGGUGAUAAGGCAACAGUAGGUAAAAGUAAAAUUUCAGGCACCUUGGCACAAACUGUGGCAGUGGCAUCAAACUCUAAGUUAUUUUUCACUGCCAUGCAUUUGUGGUGUGAACCCCCACAAAAGAAAAAAACCAGUUUCACUCAAGAAUGUCCUUGUGAAAGCAGUGACAUUUUGUUAAAUCUUAAACCCUACAGUACAUAACUUUUUGAAAUGGUUGUCUCAAGAAAAAGCACUCAUGUAAGCUGAAUUAUCUGCUAUUUCCUUGGAGCCUAACAACUGACAGCAAUUGUUUUCAAUGAUAAAAUCCAAACGUUGAGUCAAAAUCAGAAUUUCGGGAAAACUUGUGUCUAAUAUCAGGAACUUGACAGCUUCCCAAUACUUCAUGAGAUAGUGAUAUUGAAAAUAAUUUUUUUUUUUUUUUGGGACAUCUGGCUGACUGCAACCUCUGUCUCCUGGGUUCAAGCAAUUCUCCUGCCUCAGCCUCCUGCAUAACUGGGACUACAGGUGUGUACCACUGUACCCGGCUAAUUUUUGUAUUUUUAGUAGAGAUGGGGUUUCACCAUGUUGGCCAGGGUGGUCUUGAACUCCUGACCUCAGGUGAUCCACCUUGGCCUCCCAAAGUGCUAGGAUUACAGGUUUAAGCCACUGUGCCCGGCCAAUGAUAUUUUAGGUAGUAUACAGUAAAAUGGGCCAACAUUUGGGAGAUUGACAUAACUCAGUGAAGCUAUAUUUUCCUAAUGACUAAUACGUGAGAUUAUAGAAAACUGCUAGUAACAUUGUAACCAAUUGAAUGCAAAAGAAACAAUUCAGUUGUCUUCUAUUUAAGUCAGACAUUUAGGGAAACAAUUGCCAAAAUGUAAAACAAUGCACCUAUUUUUUUAAAAAUAUGCAUUUGUUGCUAUAAUAUUUAAAUAUUUUACUUUCUAAUAUGGUAAGAUACUAGUAAAGUGAUUUGGGGCCCUCAAUCUUUAAGAAUGUGAAGGGAUUCUCUGAGGCCACAAAGUUUAAGAAAUGGCUACUCUAGCACAAACGCACAUAGUAAAUACUCAAGUACCUGUUGAAUGACUUCAUGGAGUUAAAGUGACUCCUGGUAUUAAAUCUGUAUGGCUGGGAUAAUGGGCAUGCUAGGACAGGAAGCAGAUUUCCUUAACUUCACCACUGUAACUCAUUAACAAACAUGUUAGCCUGAGACAGAAGUAUUAAGGGGCGACAGGAAAGCCUUUCAUAAGCAAUGUGAUGCUUUUUUUCACAUUAUUCAACAUGGUUUAAAAUUUGGUAUACAGGCCUAUGGUGUUUGUCCUGAACUUUUGCCAGAGUAGAAUGGUUCAUGUUUUUCCUCAUAGAUUUUCACUCCUCACUAAACUUCAUGACAUCUAACAUGAACUUAUUAGAAAAGGCUAUGCUUGAGAAUAAGGAUAUCUUUUUUCUAUGCCUAUGUUGUUAAUGAGUAUGAAGCACUUACAGGCUUUUAUGUACUUGAGGUUCCAAAGACAUUUCCAAAUUUUCCCAUUUUCAGUCUUCAACUUAACAUUUUGGUCCUUGCAGUGGAGACCUGAGUCCUAUCUGACAUUGGGACUACAGUUAGGGCAGAAUUUCCUAAACUGCCAUUUUUUAAAGAAAUAAGGGUAACCAAAUGUUCCCCUUAAAAGCACUCUGGUACCCUCUAGUAUUGGGAGAUAACUAUCUUCCCCUAAUUAGAUUUGUAAAAUCUUUCUCAAUAUUUAUUUACAUUUUUUUCCCCUCAAAUAUAUUGACUUUUUCAUUCCCAGUAACAAUAUGUCUGGUCUGUAACUAAGUCAUUCCAUGUUCAGAUUACAGAUUUAUUUCCCCAUCUUUUCACAUUCUUUUAGUCCAGGAGACCCACUUUGAAGGUUAAAACCAAGGUCACACAAUGAAUAGGUGGCAGUGUCACAUAUAACUCAGCUCCAGGCCUUAUGAAUCCUGCUUAUAGCCCACUGCCUAUUCUAGUCACCAGAUUGAAAAACACCAUACUAGGGAAGAAGACGGCAAACUAUUGCCCACUACAUAUUUGUAUCAGUCUUGUCAAAUUUUUAUUGUAGUAUGUAAUAGAAUUAAAGCUAUGAUGAAUCAAGUAAAAAAUGAUUUCCUUAAAAACUAAGCUAAUAGGCGAAAAUACUCGCUUGUUCAACAAAUACCCAGUCUGGCAGAUACAAUACCCUGCCCUUAGUGGGGGGUGGAGUGGGGGGUGGGGGGGUGGGGAAAGACAUCGUGGUGAAAACAGACAUGGUCCUUGAACUUCCUGGUUCUGUGGGUUGCUUAAUUUGAGGUUUAAAUGGUUUCUCCCAUCAGGUGAAAAGUUUUGUGUUCGGCCCAUAAACAAAGCAGCUGUGAAUUCUGAUAGUGGUAAAAAGGCCAGUCUAGGAUAUAAAACCUUCAUAAACAUCUUAUUUCCCAUUCAUUAUGAAGUGUGGGGUAGGAGAUCAGAGAAACCAGAUGAGGAUUGCUGGCUGUGCUGCUAAUGUGAACUCUUCUUUCAAAAGUAUUGUGUCCUUUUAUUCUCAAUGGAGACAUCAGAAAGUAUUAAGAGGAGUACUAUUAUAAUACUAAUAGGAUACUGAAAAUCUAUACUGAUUGCAGCCAGAGGCUCCAAAAUAAACAAUACUAUGAUGAGUUCCACAAAAAAACCUCAACUACUCUUUGUUCCAGGGAAGCACCAUUUUCCACAAAACUCUCAAGAAGGACUUGUUGCAACUGGAAAAGCAAUUAAAUGUGAAUCGUGAUCCAGGAGAAAGUAACAACUCACAUAACUCCCAAAUUAAAAGUUUUCCAAAGAUAUAUCAUUUUUUUUCUCUUGGCCUUUUAAGAAACUAGCCAACAAAUACUCUUGACAGGUUUGUGUUUGGUUUUGAAAACACACACCUUAGUGUACUGAAAGAAAAACAAUUUCUUUUAAUUUGGUUUGUUGGUCCCACACCCCAUCUAUCAAUGUAUGUGCUAUUUACAAAUAAGUUCUAUACAGUAUUUUUGCAGUACCUUUGAUAAUUCCUAGACCUCUAUUUUCAUUCUGUGUAUUAAUGUGAAUAACAGAUGGAUAUUUUAAUAUUUAAGGCAGAUGGUAAACUUUCCUAUAGGUCUUGUGAGACUUCGUCUUAUAGGCUGAACACCAUUCACAAAAUGUAAUAAUGCUUCAUUCCUUCAGGUUGAGGUAAAGAACUUGAGCAACUGGAUUAGCAAAGCUGCAAAGAAUGAAAUGUGGCCUAAGAUGUAAUUAUGUUCUCUGCCCUUCCUUUGGGCCAGGGUAGUUUUGCACUUGACACAAUGGAAAAUAGGCCAUAAAGCCUGAAAAUAAAAUGUUCUAAACCCCAAUCUCACAGCACUUUAGUAGGCUUUUCACUAGGCAUCUUUAAAGUAUUUUCAACAAAAUACUAAUUAAGCUACCACUUCAAAAGAGCUUCAAGGAAAAGCUCUGCUUUCUUAUAAAAUCUUUUUGAGACAGAGUUUCGCUCUUGUCGCACAGGCUGGAGUGCAAUGGCGUGAUCUCGACUCACCGCAACCUCCGCCUGCUGGGUUCAAGUGAUUCUCUAGCCUCAGCCUCCUGAGUAGUUGGGAUUACAGGCGCCCGCCACCACACCUGGCUAAUUUUUGUAUUUCUAGUAGAGACAGGGUUUCACCAUGUUGGCCAGGCUGGUCUCCGGACCUCAGGUGAUCUGCACACUUCGGCUUCCUAAACUGCUGGAAUUACAGUCGUGAGCCACUGUGCCUGGUCUCAUAAAACUUUUAAAUUCCAUCACAUUACAUUCACACCUUUUGCUAACCAGGAUGAAGAGCCUUAAACAGGUUUAAAGAGUGCAGACUGCAGUUUUGUUAAUACUUUUUUCCUCUCCAAGUUCUUUUAUGCUAACAUUUCCAGUGGUGGGAAGUACAAGUACUAUUAGUCAUCUUCAUUCUUUGCAUUGCCAAAGAGUUCCUCUUUCUCCGUCUUGUUCUGAAGGAUGAACAAAAGCUUGAGGUGUACGUAUCAGAACGUAAACUGCAGCACGAAGACCACCAACGUUCACCCAGACUGUAUCCACCUUUCGCCAUACGUGUCGCAUUCCAGAUAACGCCUGUGUACACACAAAAAAAAUAACAAUUAGGUUGACAAUCUACUUUUACAUCAACUAGGAUUCUUAACUGCCAAGAUAGGAAACCUCAGGGGAAGAGAAAACAAAUCUUAUCCAAACAAACAUCCCCAAAUCUCAAAAAGAUCCCAAAGUUGCCACAGGCUGCGAUUUUGAGCUAAUGUGUAUAGCACCUUGGUAAAGCAUUUUGUGUCUUGAGUAAGUAGUACAGCUCGGCCUGUGGUAGGUGUGCAGACACGGCUCAUCUCCCGUAGGCAAGCUGGAUAAAGGUUCCAGUUUCUCUUCUUGGAUCCCAUCCUAUAAUAGAAGGUCUCAUGAGUCAAACACUUGCAAAAGAUACAAAAUAGAAGGACUAUAUGAAACAAAAACAGUUUCAUGCAUCCUGAGGCAUGAAAAAUAGCUGUAGUUUUAGAAACCAGACCUUUGCCAUUACAUGUCUAUGAAAUAAGUUGAGUUAGUAAACUGCUUAGAAUUCUGAAUCAAAAAAAUUUUUUUUAGACAACUGUGUUAGUUAUAUGACUUGUCCUCUUAGUAUAAUAAGCAGUCAAACUGUAUAAACCAAACAAGUGAUUAGAAAUCAUUUAGGCCAGGUGUUUUGGUGGCUCAUGCCUGUAAUCCCAGCAGUUUGGGAGGCUGAGGCGGGCAGAUCACCUGAAGUCAGGAGUUUGAGACCAGCCUGGCCAAUAUGGUGAAACCCUGUCUUUUAAAAAUACAAAAAUAAGCUGGGCAUGAUGGCAUGUGCCUGAAAUCCGAGCUACUCAGGAGGGUGAGGCAGGAGAAUCGCUUGAACCCGGGAGGCAGAGGUUACAGUGAGCCGAGAUCAUACCACUGCACUCCAGCCUGGGCAACAGAGCAGGGCUCUGUCUCCAAAAAAAAAAAAAGAAUCAUUUAUGCUGAGAAACAGAAUGAGAACCAAGUCUUCUACCACCUUUUUGUGUAGGAUAUAUAAUUCAAGAAUGGGCUAGAAAGUGAAUUACAGGUAAUUUAAAAAUGAACCUCCCAUGAUGGUCAGGAUUCCAAAUGUAGUUAAUACAUUCCUGAGUUCUCGGAAGAAACAUAAUGGGUGAAUCCAUCAUGUUGUUAAGUGAAAAACAGCUCUGCUAAGUCUGCUAAAAUUCAAGAUUUUUUUCCUGACUUAGAAUAAACGCAAGGAAAAUAAUGACAUAUUUAGAAGACAAGCAGGUACUAGUAUUUCUCACCUUUUUCCAAAUGGCAAAUCUGUUACAAUAAUAUCCACAGAGCCAGUUCUCAAUGGCAGAUUGCAGAUAUCCCACUGAACAGCAUCUAUGGGCAAGCCCCAGGAGGGUUUGCUGUGGGGACAAAGGAAAGGUGCUUCAACAUACUGUGAAGCAUAAAGUUAUUACAACAAUUUUUGUUUCUGAAGAGAGACUGCUACAGCAAAACAUAAACUGCUAAGGAUAUCAGUGAUAAUAUCAACCUAUUCAAAAUUUAAGAAAUGGCACAAAGGUAAAAAAUAGGUCAGGCUGGGCAUGGUAGCUUGUGCCUAUAAUCAGCACUUUCAGGGGCUGAGGUGGGAGGAUCACUGGACUCCAGGAAUUUGAGACCAGCUGAGCAACACUGUGAGACCUUGUCUCUAAAAUACUUUUUUAAGAAGUUAGCAGGGCAUGAUGGCACACACCUAUAGUCCCAGCUACUCAGGAGGCUGAGGUGGGAGGAUCACUUGAGUCCAGGAGUUGAAAGAUGCAGUGAGCUAGGAUUGUGCCGCUUUACUCCAGCCUGGGUGACAGAGCAAGACCCCCGUCUCAGAAAAAAGGGAAACAAACUGAAAACAUGAUUGUAAUGCAGAGAACUGCAAAAGACAACUUUAAAAACAAUGCUGAAGCAGUAAAUUACAUAACCGAUGAUACAAAAAUUUAAGUUGCUGAUAAAACAUACACUGGAGAAAAACAAUACUAAAGAAUAGAUAAUGGGGUGAUGUAUCUGAAGAAUAAAGUUUGUAAAACUAGUAAUAACAGGAGGCCUAAAAGAAAAACAGAUAGUAAAAUUGGCAAAUAUAUAGGUAAUUGUUUCAAGAUGAAAAACCAAAAGGAAAAUAUGUGCCAUGCUAUAUAAAACAAGACUAAGAAAAAAGUUAAGAUAAAAAAUAUAGAUGACAGAAGACAGAAUGAAUAAUAAUAAAUACAAAGGAUUUAAAUCCUCCUCAUUAAGGCAAAGCAACUGGUUUAAGAAACAAAAUAAUGCACAGGCUAAGAACUGAAGAUAAGUCAAAGGUUAUCAGCAGAAAUUAAGGAUUUAAUUGACAUUUAAUGAAGAAUUUAAGAAAAAAAUGCAAUAAAAGCAAUCAUUACAUAAUUUUUAAAAGUACACAUAAAAUAUGUAUUAUAACCGCAUACCAAUAACUGCACAAAACAAAAGGCAAAAAAUAUUAAAAACCAAAGUAAAAUGGAUAGAAAUGUACAGGUUGAGGCCGGGCACAGUGGCUCAUGCCUGUAAUCCCAGCACUUUGGGAGGCCAAGGUGGGCAGAUCAUGAGGUCAGGAGAUUGAGACCAUCCUGGCUAACAUGGUGAAAACCCGUCUCUACUAAAAAUACAAAAAAAAAAUAAGCCGGGCAUGGUGGCGGGUGCCUGUAGUCCCAGCUACUUGGGAGGCUGAGGCAGGAGAAUGGCGUGAACCCGGGAGGCGGAGCUUGCAGUGAGCCGAGAUCAAGCCACUGCACUCCAGCCUGGGCGACAGAGUGAGACUCCGUCUCAAAAAAAAAAAAAAAAAAAAAAAAAAAAAAAAAAAAAAAAAGUACGGGUUGAACAGACAGUGUAGGUACAAACAAGAUAAAAUAUUCAGAAGCUAGAAAGGUACGUUUGUUUAAAUGUUUAUCAGUUUUAAUUAAAAAAAAAAAAGACUGGCCAUAUACUAGGCUCAUUAAAAAAAACCCUCAAUAAAUAUGAAACAACCAUUCAAAAUUAAUUCAUCACAAUAAAUCAGUAUUUAAGAAAAUUGAAGCCUUCCAACUACUUGUCUUAAUACACGUAAAAGGAUUUAAUGUUGAUACAUAGACCAGCAGCAUCAGCAUUGUCCUGGAGUUUCCUGGAAAAUGCAGACUCUUAGGUCCCAUCCCAAACUACUAAAUCAGAUCUGUGUUAACAGUACUCCUAGGUGAUUCACAUGUACAUUAAUGUUUGAGAAGCACUGUCCUAAAAAAUUAGAUCAGAGAGACAAUGAAAUAUAUAACCAAUGACUUAGUAAUAAAAUAGAGGCGAGGCUAUAUAAACUGCAGUAUUUCUAUACGAUGGAAUUUAUGUAGUGACUUUAAAGACUAUGGUCCAGGUGUGGUGACUCGUCUCUAAUCCCAGCAAUUUGGAAGGCUGAAGCGGCAGAAUCUCUUGAGGCCAGGAGUUUGACACCAGCCUGGACAAAACAGCAAGACCCCCAUCUCUACGAAGAUUUUAAAAAAUUAGCUGGGCAUGGUGGCACAUGCCUGUAUUCCUAGCUACUAGGGAGGCCAAGGCAGGAGGAUUGCUUGAGCUCAGUAGGUUGAGGCUACAGUGAGCCAUGAUCAUGUCACUGCACUCCAGCCUGGGUGACAAAAUGAGACCCUGUACCCAAAGCAAAAAAGAAGCCUAUGUAAAAAUAUACUGUUUAAAAUUUUGUGAAAUUAAAAUGAGUCUAUAAAAUAUUCUUCCAAUAUGUAGGGGAAAAGACAUAUGAAUAAGACAAAUGAAAAAUUGCAUAUGGUGGGGAAAUUAUCGCUAAAAUAAUAUUUUAAAAAUAUAACUUAUUUUCAAUAAACUUUAAAAAUGUAAAUGGAGUCUCAUAGUAUAUUCAUUUUGGUUACAAUGACGUCACAAUGCACUGGGAGUUUUAAUUCAUAAAGUCAAUAUAAAAAGUGAUUCUCUAACUCUAAAAGAUGCUAAGAAAUCUUUUAAAUUUUUACCCUUCUUUAAUUUGGCUCUUGGUCAAUAAAGAUGCAAUGUUAUUUGCUGCUCUAUUCACAGCCAGUGGAUUAUUAUCACCAGCAAUAUGGAAACAGUCAGACCAUUCAGUGGCCCCCUAAAAGAUAAGAGUGUAUGUUAAAACAAAAGUAGCAAACUGUAAAAUAUGAUUAAAUUGUCAACAAACAAAGAAAAUCCAGUGCUUUUCUAGAGUGGCAAAACAUUGCAUGUUGUCAACUGUGCUAUUUCCCUGGCUGAAAAUGCCCUCUUAUUCUUUCUCUGCUUGCUGAACCUCUACCCAUCUCUUAAGACCCAGCUCAAACCUCAUGCCCUUUCAACAUCAACCUUAACUCUCCAAGCAGUCUUAUGUGCCCCUCCCAAAAACACUUUGUAUGUACGUACCUCUGCCACUGCACUUGUCCCACGGUUAAUUAUUUCUUCCCCUUUAUGCCUCUCAACUAACCUGGGAGCUCUCUGAGGUCAGGUCUAGUAUUUUAUUCAGUUCCUCAUCCAGCAGUGUCUGGCACACUAAAUUCUAAGUUAAUGCGGUUUGAAAAUAUUUGAGAUUUGUGGUUGUGGGAGUUUACAUAAUCUGAUAUAUUUGAAAAUUGCAAAAUAAAAUGCUAUUUCCGGCCGGGCAUGGUGGCUCACACCUGAAAUCCCAGCACUUUGGGAAGCUGAGGCAGGAGGAUUUCUUGAGCCCAGGAGUUUGAGACCAGCCUGGGAACAUGGUGAAAGCCCAUCUCUACAAAAACACAAAAAUCAGCUGGGUGUGAUGGUGUGCACCUGAGUCUCAGCUACUCGAGAGGCUGAGGUGGGAGAAUGGCUUAAGACAGGGAGGCAGAGGUUGCAGGGAGCUGAGAUUACACCACUGCACUCCAGCCUGGCUGACAGAGCAAGACCCCAGGUCAAAAAAAUAAUAGUAAAAUGCAAUUUCCUUUGUAUGAUAGGCUUUUGAAUGGUAACCACCAUAUCACUGGAAGGAUUUUGUAAUUAUAAAUAAAAAACCUGUCAGCAGAACAUAAAUACCAAGCUGUCACAUGUCAUUUGUGGAAUGAGGUGACGUGACCCUAGGCCUGAACAAUGUUCUAUGCAGAUUAACAGAAGGUUUCUGACACGAAAGCCGGGAAAGGUCUGCCUCUGCUUAGGGGUGAGUAGCAAACACCUUUGUGUUCCUUUGUGAACAGUAACAUACUUCUCAUCCAUGAGUGCAGUGUUUCAUAACUUUUUCUUUUGCCCAGACACUUGAGGGUGAUAACAUACCCUGUCUACAAUCCUACGAUGACAUCAAACAAAAGGGAAGUUGAAGUAUCCCAGAAUUUUGGGUGGGUGGGGAUGUAGAGGGGACCUAGAGUUUGAGGAAGGCUCUCAGUGAUUCCGAUUCCCAAAUAUUCUUUUUUUUUUUUCCUAAACCUAUUUGGAUUUUCAGCAUUGGAAAGAAUUGGGUUUUAUAGCAUAACACUUCUAAAUUAAAAAAAAAAAUUAUUCUAGAUCAAGUA